rnacentral:rRNA from 1 species
GUGGGGAAUAUUGCGCAAUGGGGGAAACCCUGACGCAGCAACGCCGCGUGAAUGAAGAAGGCCUUCGGGUUGUAAAGUUCUGUCAAUUGGGAAGAAGCCCCAGGGGUCAAUAGCUCCUGGGAUGACGGUACCUAAGAAGGAAGCUCCGGCUAACUACGUGCCAGCAGCCGCGGUAAUACGUAGGGAGCAAGCGUUAUCCGGAAUUACUGGGCGUAAAGGGCGUGUAGGCGGCCGAUUAAGCCAGGUGUAAAAUGUUACAGCUCAACUGUAAACCCGCAUCUGGAACUGGUCGGCUAGAGGACGAGAGAGGAAAGUGGAAUUCCUAGUGUAGCGGUGGAAUGCGUAGAUAUUAGGAGGAACACCAGUGGCGAAGGCGGCUUUCUGGCUCGUACCUGACGCUGAGGCGCGAAAGCGUGGGGAGCAAACAGGAUUAGAAACCCCAGUAGUCC